rnacentral:rRNA from 1 species
GUCUAUGGCCAUACCACCCUGAAUGCGCCUGAUCUCGUCUCAUCUCAGAAGCUAUCAUGUUAAGUGAAAUAAGCCAAUCCCAAAAAACCAAAGGCA